GACGUAGGAGGCGAGCGUUGUCCGGAUUCAUUGGGCGUAAAGAGCACGCAGGCGGUUUGGCAAGUCGGACGUGAAAAUCCGGGGCUCAACCCCGGACCUGCAUCCGAAACUGCCCGACUAGAGGUAGGUAGGGGAGAUCGGAAUUCCUGGUGUAGCGGUGAAAUGCGCAGAUAUCAGGAGGAACACCGGUGGCGAAGGCGGUUCUCUGGGCAUGACCUGACGCUGAGGAGCGAAAGUGUGGGGGAGCGAACAGG
rnacentral:rRNA from 1 species